UACGGAGGGUGCGAGCGUUGUCCGGAAUCACUGGGCGUAAAGGGCGCGUAGGCGGCUAUGUAAGUCACCUGUGAAAUUCCGGGCUCAACUCCGGGGCGCAGGUGAGACUGCAUAGCUGGGAGCUCGGGUAGAGGCGAGUGGAAUUCCCGGUGUAGCGGUGGAAUGCGUAGAUAUCGGGAAGAACACCAGUGGCGGAAGGCGGCUCGCUGGGCCGAUGCUGACGCUGAGG
rnacentral:rRNA from 1 species